GUUUCUGUAGUUGAAUACAACGGUGGUUUUUCAAGUCAUAGGUCUCGGUUAAAAUCCGAGCAGAAAUU
rnacentral:tRNA from 1 species